CGGUGAUCUAGAUCUGAAGCUCUGUCCAAGAAGCUAGACAGGCCGAGACCCGUUUUCAGCUGGGGUUAUGGCAGCGGAUGGAAUGGCAUUCCACUCCUCCGGUGCUCAUAAUGGAGCCUUUUAGAAUAGGGCUGAGCCUUUCAUUGCUCGUUCGGUUAGCGUGCAUGGUUGCUCUGAGGUGUUGGACCAGCAGUCAUCCCUGCCUGAGUCUCAAGCUUCUCUUCUUAUCUGAACUUGCACUGUUCUUUAUCUCCUCCACUCAUUCACACUGUUUCCAAGCAGAAUGAAAAUCACAGGGAGAUGAGAGCCAAUUUUUUGUCAGUCAAUACUUGAUCUCCUUUGAUCUACUUCAACCAUGGAGGCGAUUGAAGAGUUGUUGCAACUGUCAGACUCGAUGCGCUAAGGCCAGGCCAUCCUCGCCGACGAAGACGUUGACGAAAACUCUACUGCCUCCUCUCGCCGCUCCUCAACUUUCUUCAACGUCGUCGGUCUCGGC